rnacentral:rRNA from 1 species
UGCUUACACAUGCAAGUCGAACGAUGAAGCCCUUCGGGGUGGAUUAGUGGCGAACGGGUGAGUAACACGUGGGCAAUCUGCCCUGCACUCUGGGACAAGCCCUGGAAACGGGGUCUAAUACCGGAUAUGACCGUCUUGGGCAUCCUUGACGGUGUAAAGCUCCGGCGGUGCAGGAUGAGCCCGCGGCCUAUCAGCUUGUUGGUGAGGUAAUGGCUCACCAAGGCGACGACGGGUAGCCGGCCUGAGAGGGCGACCGGCCACACUGGGACUGAGACACGGCCCAGACUCCUACGGGAGGCAGCAGUGGGGAAUAUUGCACAAUGGGCGAAAGCCUGAUGCAGCGACGCCGCGUGAGGGAUGACGGCCUUCGGGUUGUAAACCUCUUUCAGCAGGGAAGAAGCGAGAGUGACGGUACCUGCAGAAGAAGCGCCGGCUAACUACGUGCCAGCAGCCGCGGUAAUACGUAGGGCGCAAGCGUUGUCCGGAAUUAUUGGGCGUAAAGAGCUCGUAGGCGGCUUGUCACGUCGGUUGUGAAAGCCCGGGGCUUAACCCCGGGUCUGCAGUCGAUACGGGCAGGCUAGAGUUCGGUAGGGGAGAUCGGAAUUCCUGGUGUAGCGGUGAAAUGCGCAGAUAUCAGGAGGAACACCGGUGGCGAAGGCGGAUCUCUGGGCCGAUACUGACGCUGAGGAGCGAAAGCGUGGGGAGCGAACAGGAUUAGAUACCCUGGUAGUCCACGCCGUAAACGGUGGGCACUAGGUGUGGGCAACAUUCCACGUUGUCCGUGCCGCAGCUAACGCAU